CUCUAUACGGAUUUAACGCCAAAUAGCUCUCGGUAUUUCCGGGAAUUGUCUUCAUUUCCUGAAACCAGCGCUGCCCAGUAGCGAGGCACGCAUUCGGCCGUGCAGUCGCAGAGAGUCGCUGUGAUGACGCUCGGCUCAAACAGCGUAUCCUCCGGGUGAACUACGCAAUCCCUGGCUGUCCGCCCAUAGGCUGUAUUAGGUGUCAAUCAUAGAAAACAUGACCCCCUAAUAACUUUUAAAAACGGAGCUUCACAGAAAAAAAGAGGACUUGAGCACAAACCAGUCUGACAGUAACUACAUGUCAACAUCACAAGCAGGGGGGAGAAAAAUUUAUUUUCUGUGU